rnacentral:lncRNA from 1 species
GGGUGGCCUUGGACCAACACAAUACUCCCCUCAUUCUUGCUUGUCAUUCUUAAGAAUAACUGUAGAAUGUGCUGGGAGUGCAGUAUCCUGAGAUAGGGAGGAACUGCCUGAAACAGCAAAAGCCUUGUUCCAGUCCUUCCUGGAGAAUCUAACAUCUUGAGAUAGGGAGGAACUGCCUGGGACAGCCCAGCCUUUGUUCCUUUCUCUCAGAAGCAGGAUGUCCUUCAAAGCUUUGCUAAAUGAGUCACAUGGCCCCUGAGGUAUAUAACUCAGGAAAGGCUGCCUUUUGGGGUCUCUCAGCUAUGGUGCAAGUGAGGCAUGCUUAAUCGAGACUCAUUCACCCAGGCAGCUUUCUUGAGUCUUGGGAAACCAUCUCACAGUGGAUCCUAGGCUUCUUUUGUCCCUUGCUGCCUAUCUGUUACCUGGCAAAGUCUUUCAAAACUCAACUCAAAGACUGUCUCCUCCGCGAAACCUUCCUUGACCUCCCUGGAUGGAGUUAAGCACCCCCUUCUCUGCUCCAGACGCCCUGGUGUUCUCCCAUUGUAACAUGUAUCACAAUGUGCUGGGAUUGUCAAGCGAUUUUUCUGCCUCUUCCGCUGGACUAUGAGCUCUGGGAGGGUAAGAACCAUGUAUCUAUCCUCAGGGCCUAGCAC